GGGACUGUGGCUCAGUGCCUAGAGCAUAUGCUUUGUAUGAAGAAAGUCCCAGGUUCAGUCCCUGGCAUCUCCA
rnacentral:tRNA from 1 species